UGCGCCCUGCCCCAAAUGACCGGCAGACGCAAGUCUGCCCCUCCUUCUCAAGGUUGACCUCGGAUCAGGUAGGACUACCCGCUGAACUUAAGCAUAUCAAUAAGCGGAGGAAAAGAAACCAACAGGGAUUGCCCCAGUAACGGCGAGUGAAGCGG
rnacentral:rRNA from 1 species